CCACCGCACCUGCCCGAUACCUGUGUCUUUAACACACAUGGCAGACUCCAACUCCUAGGGUUAGGGGAAGGAGUGACUGUAUUGACAUGGUAAGAAAGCUAGAUAAGGAAUGGGAUCAGCUGGCCUCAUGGGUUGGCACAAGCUACUUACAAACCAUAAGGAUUCCCUUUCAUCAUUUCUUGUUCCUCUUCCUAUGUCAGCUUCAUUCUCAUGGACUUUACUGCUUUUCUUGUGAGACUGGAAAUAUGACAGAGAAGAGCUUUGAAGUUCAUUAACUGAGAGGGAAGACGCGACUCUUGGUUCUCACUAAAAGAAAAAAAAAUACUGACUGCGAUUCUCUUUUUAUUGCACAGAUUAUAGACCCUGGGAAAUGGGGUCAGUGGGGCACAGUGUUUAGCAGCCACUCUAUGACUUUCAUCUGAAGUCAGGAAAAAAACAAUUUUCCAAAGGAAGGGCUGAUCCCAGGAGAAAAGAAGAUUUGGUGUGGGAGACAGAAGAUGGAUAUCUACUGGGAUACUAGACAUGGCAUCAGAAGAUAUGAGCUUAAGGUAACUUCACAAAGCCCCUGAUUCUGUGACGAUGUGCAGCUCUCCGGAAAGAUGCUUUGAAGAUAAAACGGGAUAGAGCACAUGGAUCUCUCCCGUCUCUUGCCUGGGCCACUGUAUUCCUCAAAAGAUAAAUGACCCUAGUCCUUUCUUUUUCAUACACAGAAGAUUACAUGUGACAGGGUUAGUGACUGUGCUUCUAUAAUCUAUAAGCAAAUGAACUUUAGUGAUGGAAAACCAGAUGUAUUCUUACACCCAAACCUUGAUGUGAUUCUGCUUCAACAUAACUUCUGAGUAACUUUGAUGUGAUUUUGCCCAUACUGAGCCCCCACGACCUGGAUAUAAGCUGUGGGCUGAAACACUGGGCCAGAUAGUCUUAGAGGACUGCUCCCAAGCCGGAGGCCUUGGCCUACAGUCCUCAUUAAGACUGCUGAAUACAACUAACUUGAAUCCUUUAAAAAAACAGACUUUUUUUCUGUAGUCGGCAAAUGCUUCAGAAUGGUCUGAUGAAAGUGAGCCAAUAAAAACGGUUUGUUGAAUUAGGUAUGGCUGAGAAAAUUGUGGAGGUAUUGGAGAGAAAUUGUAACAAUCAAGAAAGAUGAUUCAAUCGGAUUGCUUUGCAAGUCACUUUCAUUCUUGCUCCAAUGUAAAGAAACUGAAGUUGGGUGUCAUAGGGGAUACAUGAAAGGUAUGAUUUAUUAAGAGAGACAACACAUAACACCAAUUAAGGUACCCAGAGUCAGAGAAGAGACCUUCGCUGUACAUCAAAGAUUCGCAAAUGAAUGUCAAUUUGUGUUUUAAGUUAAAAUAAAAAUGUUUAAGGCA